GCACAGCUGGGAGGAAUGCACACCAUUUCAACUGGUGCCAGACAGAAGGGGUUAUGACCAGGCAGAUUCCUGCUGACCACAUAUUUGCUUUGAGGGAAAACGGUGGCAACUGGGUGGCCCUCGCUAAUUCUUUUACAAAUUGGAGGCUGCUCACAGUUGUAGAUCUUGGAAAUCGAUCAGACACAAAUAAAGCAAACAGAUCCCCAGUCACCACAAGCAUAUCAUUUGUCAGAGUGCCUCAAAACUGCCCACGGACGUACAAGCUGAUAAUAUUUGAUCCAGACAAUGACCAAGCCAGAUGCAGAUAUGGCACUGACCAUGUUUCUGAAUGUUCUGGCUGUCAGCUUCCUUCCGGGUUUAGGCUGAAUCAAACCAGAAUCAAAGAGAAGGAUUUCUGCGCUCUAAGUUAUGACUAUUCCUCAGUUGGUGUCUAUGGGUUAGAGCUGGCUGUGGAAGAUUUCCCCCAACAAAACAUCAGUCUCUCCUACAAAAAUGGCUCCCACUCUAUCAGGAGUCCAUUUAAUCAAGCUGCCAUCUUCACACUUCAACUUAGCCAACUUCCUCUGCACUUUGCUGUCAAAGUUGACCCCGCUGUGGAAUCUUGUGAUGAAGGAGUAUACUUGCCAAAGUUCCUUCACCCUACCCCAGAGAAUGGAGAACAAAUUCAAGCUAAGAUCAACCAGGAGCUUGAGAUCAUAAUCCAUGCAACAGCCUCUGCCACUGUGGUUCAUAAUAUCACCAUAAGUGGACCCCUGAACAUCACAGUCAACAAGUACAACAAUGGUUCUGAACAGUUUGUUCUGAGGUGGACUCCAAGGGCCGAUGAUCUUGGGGAAUAUUUUCCCGUCUGUUUCAUUGCUGAAAGUCACACAGUAAAUAACACCUACUAUCAAUCUGACAUGAGAUGCGUCAUUGUCGAAGUUGGAAAUGAUACAGAUUCUGAUUCAGCCGUUCCAACUGGAGAGAGUACUAUGUUGACGGAGAUAGUGGCUGGCCUGAGGAUGAAGAUUGAAUCUGAAACUUCACUAACUGAAGCCGAGAUCGAAGAAACGAUCAUAAAGCCGUUUCAAGAGGAGCUUAUCCGUCAUGGUCUACCCAACAGUACCACUCUAAGUCUGAGACGAGUACAUCAGAUCAACCCAUGAGGAAUCCACCAGGACUACUAUUCCAGGCACAAAGGUGCUCUAAAAAGGACUUUCUCUCUGUCCCAAACCAGUGAAGCCCCU
ensembl:lncRNA